rnacentral:tRNA from 1 species
GGUUGUGGCUCAGUGGUAGAGUGCUCGCCUAGCAUGUGUGAGGUGCUUGGGUGCGAUCCUUAGCAUCA